rnacentral:rRNA from 1 species
UACGUAGGUGACAAGCGUUGUCCGGAAUUACUGGGUGUAAAGCGCGUGUAGGCGGCAGACCAAGUCGGCGGUGAAAGCGCCCGGCUCAACUGGGCGAGGUCCGUGGAAACUGGUCAGCUGGAGGACGGUAGAGGCGAGUGGAAUUCCCGGUGUAGUGGUGAAAUGCGUAGAGAUCGGGAGGAACACCUGUGGCGAAGGCGGCUCGCUGGGCCGGUCCUGACGCUGAGACGCGAAGGCGUGGGGAGCGAACGGG